CCAAAGGCCCUUUUCAGGGCCACCCACUUUUUCACUAAAAGACCG
rnacentral:ncRNA from 1 species